GAUGAACGCUGGCGGCGUGCCUAAUACAUGCAAGUCGAGCGAACGGACGAGAAGCUUGCUCCUCUGACGUUAGCGGCGGACGGGUGAGUAACACGUGGAUAACCUACCUAUAAGACUGGGAUAACUUCGGGAAACCGGAGCUAAUACCGGAUAAUAUUUUGAACCGCAUGGUUCAAAAGUGAAAGACGGUCUUGCUGUCACUUAUAGAUGGAUCCGCGCUGCAUUAGCUAGUUGGUAAGGUAACGGCUUACCAAGGCAACGAUGCAUAGCCGACCUGAGAGGGUGAUCGGCCACACUGGAACUGAGACACGGUCCAGACUCCUACGGGAGGCAGCAGUAGGGAAUCUUCCGCAAAGGGCGAAAGCCUGACGGAGCAACGCCGCGUGAGUGAUGAAGGUCUUCGGAUCGUAAAACUCUGUUAUUAGGGAAGAACAUAUGUGUAAGUAACUGUGCACAUCUUGACGGUACCUAAUCAGAAAGCCACGGCUAACUACGUG
rnacentral:rRNA from 1 species